GACAGAGGCCUCAAGCGUUAGGCGGAAUCACUGGGCUUAAAGCGUGUGUAGGCGGAUCGUUAAGUGCCUUGUGAAAUCCCACGGCUUAACUGUGGAACGGCUGGGCAUACUGGCGGUCUUGAGCCAUCUAGGGGCGACUGGAACAAACGGUGGAGCGGUGAAAUGCGUAGAUAUCAGGAGGAACACCGGUGGCGAAGGCGGGUCUCUGGGCCGAUACUGACGCUGAGGAGCGAAAGCGUGGGGAGCGAACAGG
rnacentral:rRNA from 1 species